UGGGGAAUUUUGGACAAUGGGCGCAAGCCUGAUCCAGCCAUGCCGCGUGCGGGAAGAAGGCCUUCGGGUUGUAAACCGCUUUUUGCAGGGAAGAAAAUCUUUCUGAGUUAAUACCUCGGGAGGAUGACGGUACUGAAGAAUAAGCACCGGCUAACUACGUGCCAGCAGCCGCGGUAAUACGUAGGGUGCAAGCGUUAAAUCGGAAUUACUGGGCGUAAAAGCGUGCGCAGGCGGUUUUGUAAGACAGAGGUGAAAUCCCCGGGCUCAACCUGGGAACUGCCUUUGUGACUGCAAGGCUUGAGUGCGGCAGAGGGGGGAUGGAAUUCCGCGUGUAGCAGUGAAAUGCGUAGAUAUGCGGAGGAAACACCGAUGGCGAAGGCAAUCCCCUGGGCCUGCACUGACGCUCAUGCACGAAAAGCGUGGGGAGCAAAACAGGAUUAGAUACCCUGGUAGUCCACGCCCUAAAACGAUGUCAACUGGUUGUUGGGAAAGGGUUCCUUCUCAGUAACGUAGCUAAACGCGUGAAA
rnacentral:rRNA from 1 species